rnacentral:rRNA from 1 species
CCUACGGGAGGCUGCAGUAGGGAAUAUUGCUCAAUGGGGGAAACCCUGAAGCAGCAACGCCGCGUGGAGGAUGAAGGUUUUCGGAUUGUAAACUCCUUUUGUUAGAGAAGAUAAUGACGGUAUCUAACGAAUAAGCACCGGCUAACUCCGUGCCAGCAGCCGCGGUAAUACGGCGGGUGCAAGCGUUCCUCGGAAUCACUGGGCGUAAAGAGCGCGUAGGCGGGAUAGCAAGUCAGAUGUUAAAUCCUAUGGCUUAACCAUAGAACUGCAUUUGAAACUGUUAUUCUAGAGUAUGGGAGAGGUAUGUGGAAUUCUUGGUGUAGGGGUGAAAUCCGUAGAGAUCAAGAGGAAUACUGAUUGCGAAGGCGACCUGCUGGAACUUAACUGACGCUGAUGCGCGAAAGCGUGGGUAGCAAACAGGAUUAGAUACCCCGGUAGUC